rnacentral:snRNA from 1 species
UUGGUCAUCGCGCUUGGUUGAAA